UAGGGAAUCUUCCGCAAUGGGCGAAAGCUUGACGGAGCAACGCCGCGUGAGUGAUGAAGGUCUUCGGAUCGUAAAACUCUGUUAUUAGGGAAGAACAAAUGUGUAAGUAACUAUGCACGUCUUGACGGUACCUAAUCAGAAAGCCACGGCUAACUACGUGCCAGCAGCCGCGGUAAUACGUAGGUGGCAAGCGUUAUCCGGAAUUAUUGGGCGUAAAGCGCGCGUAGGCGGUUUUUUAAGUCUGAUGUGAAAGCCCACGGCUCAACCGUGGAGGGUCAUUGGAAACUGGAAAACUUGGGUGCAGAAGAGGAAAGUGGAAUUCCAUGUGUAGCGGUGAAAUGCGCAGAGAUAUGGAGGAACACCAGUGGCGAAGGCGACUUUCUGGUCUGUAACUGACGCUGAUGUGCGAAAGCGUGGGGAUCAAACAGG
rnacentral:rRNA from 1 species